rnacentral:rRNA from 1 species
UACGGGGGGAGCAAGCGUUGUUCGGAUUUACUGGGCGUAAAGGGCGCGUAGGCGGCCACCGCAAGUCGAUUGUGAAAUCUCCGGGCUUAACUCGGAAAGGUCAACUGAUACUGUGCGACUAGAGUGCGGAAGGGGCAACUGGAAUUCUCGGUGUAGCGGUGAAAUGCGUAGAUAUCGGGAGGAACACCAGUGGCGAAGGCGGCUUCCUGGACCUGAUCUGACGCUGAGGAGCGAAAGCGUGGGGAGCGAUCCGG